rnacentral:misc_RNA from 1 species
ACAAAAGGCAAAAUGGGGAGGCAAACCCAUUGGGCAAAAAAAAGAAACCAUCUCAUGGUCGAGAUGUAAAGGUCCAAACCCCGGAGCCCGUGACCAGGUCGCGCGGAUGGGGUGCGGAGAGAAAAAAAAAAACGCUAUCUCUCUUGGGGGCAAACCAAGAGAGCCUUGGGCAGUCGCAGCCGAACAGGCUCCGUCGCCUUAAAUUCAGACGAGCUCGACCGCGACCCGGGCUUUGACUGGGGGAGAAGGUCGCAUCUAACAAAACACCGCUCGGCAUCGUCGGUCAUUGUUCCGAUGUUGUAAGCGCCCGAGUAUGUACUUCUCACGUAUACGAAAUUUUCAUUACUUUGCAUGAGGAAAGGGGUGGUCGGGAGCAGGCCAAGUCUCUCGGCUUUUUUUUCUCUUUCCUCGGUCGCGUCAGGCGUACCUCGUUGCGCGCCUCGACACAGACCAAAAUUGGCAUCUUUGUUGA